UACAGAGGUCUCGAGCGUUGUUCGGAUUCAUUGGGCGUAAAGGGUGCGUAGGUGGCUUGGUAAGUCGGAUGUGAAAUCCCGGGGCUCAACCCCGGAACUGCAUUCGAUACUGCUGGGCUUGAGACCUGGAGAGGAGAUCGGAAUUUACGGUGUAGCAGUGAAAUGCGUAGAUAUCGUAAGGAAGACCAGUGGCGAAGGCGGAGUCUCUGGACAGGAACUGACACUGAGACACGAAGGCCAGGGGAGGCAAACGGG
rnacentral:rRNA from 1 species